CAAGAUCAAGGGCAUCCACAUCAAAAACAGCACAGGCCUCCCACAGAAAAGGCUCUGAGCAGCCACAAUUAAGAAGAAUGUUAAUGUGAACUUAUGUGCUCAGAGAAGCACUUGUAGAAGAGAAAUGUAAGUUAUUACUGCAGAGAACACAAGCGCAGGGAUCUACUGUCCCCUCUUGGGAUGACAACAUAUGGGCAGAGCCGGGGCUCCGUUUGCAGUAAGCUUCCGCCUCGGAGCGGCUGCCGUCCCCGACAGAUCCGAGGAACUAUUUGACCUCCCUGCAUGUGCCUUUCAGUCAGUCCCCAUCAGCGCUGCUGCGGGAGGUGCCGACAUGAGAAUUUGAGUACGAGCGCUCGGAAGCAGGAGCUGGAAUGUGAUGCAGGAUUCCUGUGACCAGCAACUGGUUAUGUUAUUCUUGCAACUUCUAACUUGCAUCUGGGAAGGAAUUCCUCCACAAAUAAAUGCAACCCUGAAAUGAAGCUUAUGAAUGUUUAUUAAAAUUAGAAAUAGGGAAAUUACAGCA